UGUGUGUGUGUGUGUGUGUGUGUGUGUGUGUGUGUGUGUGUGUGUGUGUGUGUGUGUGUGUGUGUUUGUGCACUUGACUUUAGGAAGAGCUGAGGAGCAGGCAUCUGUGUUCACUGUUAUCUACACUGGAAGAACUUGAGAUUGACAGUGGAUGCUCUGAAAUACACAUCACCUCAGAAUGACUGCUAAACACAGACCAGCUCAAGACUGAUCUUCAGAAAUGCUGCUCAGGCGCUCCAUCAUUUCCUCGUCAGCCCCUGGUCCCUGCCCUGGCCUGAAGUCAUCGCUCAGUUAGGCAGCUGGCAGGCCGGCCCUGAGGGUCCCCAGUGGGGAGUGAGGAGUCAAGGGUUGGUCACU
ensembl:lncRNA